rnacentral:lncRNA from 1 species
UGACUUUACAUUCUUGGAAAGCUUGACAUUGUAGAAAUUACACAUGAACUUAUACAUUAAUUUCAAUUUGUCACCUUAAAGAAAAUUUUAAGAGAAAUGUCAUCUUAAAUUUUCAAAAUUCAUGAUUUGUCAUCUAUCUUUAACACAAUCCAAUUUUUCAUCCAUUUUUAAGGGUAUUUUAGUUUUUCCAUUUUCAAAGAAAAAAAAAGAGAGAAAAAAG